CACUCAAACUAUUCCCUGAAUGACAAGCUGUGGAUAAACUUUCUUUUGUUUGGAUUUGGAAGGCUACGGCAUUGGGGAUGAUGAAUACUCCUGUGCGUAUGAUGGCUGCCGGCAGCUGAUUUGGUACAAUGCCAGAAGUAAGCCUCACAUACACCCAUGCUGGAAAGAAGGAGAUACAGUAGGAUUUCUGUUAGACUUGAAUGAAAAGCAAAUGAUCUUCUUUUUAAAUGGCAACCAGCUGCCUCCUGAAAAGCAAGUCUUUUCAUCUACUGUAUCUGGAUUUUUUGCUGCAGCUAGUUUCAUGUCAUAUCAACAAUGUGAGUUCAAUUUUGGAGCAAAACCAUUCAAAUACCCACCAUCUAUGAAAUUUAGCACUUUUAAUGACUACGCCUUCCUAACAGCUGAAGAAAAAAUCAUUUUGCCAAGGCACAGGCGUCUUGCUCUGUUGAAGCAAGUCAGUAUCCGAGAAAACUGCUGUUCCCUUUGUUGUGAUGAGGUAGCAGACACACAAUUGAAGCCAUGUGGACACAGUGACCUGUGCAUGGAUUGUGCCUUGCAGCUGGAGACCUGCCCAUUGUGUCGUAAAGAAAUAGUAUCUAGAAUCAGACAGAUUUCUCAUAUUUCAUGACACAUGUGAAGAGGCAUCGUGGACUUUUUUCUACUCAAUUCCAGCCAAUGUUGAAAAGAAAAAGAAAAAA
rnacentral:sRNA from 1 species